AUUGAACGCUAGCGGGAUGCCUUACACAUGCAAGUCGAACGGAGUGGCGAACGGGUGAGUAAUGUAUCGGAACGUGCCCCGUAGCGGGGGAUAACUACGCGAACGCGUAGCUAAUACCGCAUACUCUUGGAGCGGCCGAUAGCGGAUUCGCUAGGUGGUGGGGUAACGGCUCACCAUGGCGCCGAUCCGUAGCUGGUUUGAGAGGACGACCAGCCACACUGUGACUUGGAAACGGCCCAGACUCCUACGGGAGGCAGCAGUGGGGAAUUUUGGACAAUGGGGGAAAGCCUGAUGCAGCCAUCCCGCGUGUGCGAUGAAGGCCUUCGGGUUGUAAAGCACGUUUGGCAGGAAGGCGGUACCUGCAGAAUAAGCACCGGCUAACUACGUGCCAGCAGCCGCGGUAAUUC
rnacentral:rRNA from 1 species